UACGUAUGGGGCAAGCGUUAUCCGGAUUUACUGGGUGUAAAGGGAGCGCAGGCGGCCUGGCAAGCCUGAUGUGAAAUACCGGGGCCCAACCCCGGGGCUGCAUUGGAAACUGCCAGGCUGGAGUGCCGGAGAGGCAGGCGGAAUUCCUAGUGUAGCGGUGAAAUGCGUAGAUAUUAGGAGGAACACCAGUGGCGAAGGCGGCCUGCUGGACGGUGACUGACGCUGAGGCUCGAAAGCGUGGGGAGCAAACAGG
rnacentral:rRNA from 1 species